rnacentral:rRNA from 1 species
CAACAGGGAUUGCCUCAGUAACGGCGAGUGAAGCGGCAAAAGCUCAAAUUUGAAAUCUGGCACCUUCGGUGUCCGAGUUGUAAUUUGAAGAAGGUAACUUUGGAGUUGGCUCUUGUCUAUGUUCCUUGGAACAGGACGUCACAGAGGGUGAGAAUCCCGUGCGAUGAGAUGCCCAACUCUAUGUAAAGUGCUUUCGAAGAGUCGAGUUGUUUGGGAAUGCAGCUCUAAGUGGGUGGUAAAUUCCAUCUAAAGCUAAAUAUUGGCGAGAGACCGAUAGCGAACAAGUACAGUGAUGGAAAGAUGAAAAGAACUUUGAAAAGAGAGUGAAAAAGUACGUGAAAUUGUUGAAAGGGAAGGGCUUGAGAUCAGACUUGGUAUUUUGCAAGCCUUACCUUCGUGGUGGGGUCCCCUGCAGUUUACUGGGCCAGCAUCGGUUUGGAUGGUAGGAUAAUGACUUGGGAAUGUGACUUUGCUUCGGUAAAGUGUUAUAGCCCUUGUUGAUACUGCCUGUCUAGACCGAGGACUGCGUCUUUGACUAGGAUGCUGGCAUAA